rnacentral:tmRNA from 1 species
GGGGCUGCUUUGGUUUCGACAUUCAAAACUAUGGAAAGUAUGAUACAGGUCGAAGUAUGUAACCUUCGUAAAACCUUACAAAAUUGAAAUAAAUGCUAAAAAUAUAAUCUCUUUUAAAUCACGUAGUAUCCAACAUAAUCUAAAUUUAGAAUUGUUAGCUGCGUAAUUCUACUAGAAUUUUUUCUGUAUAGUCACUAUUUAUUCACUGAUAAUAUUCUUUUCCGUUUUCAGUUUAGAACAAGUUAAAUACCACAACGUUCGUUUUUUGAACUAUACCUGUGAACGAAUACUUUAUCAUAAAUUGGAUGGACAUGGGUUCAAGUCCC